rnacentral:rRNA from 1 species
AUGCAAGUCGAGCGGAUGUAGCAAUACAUCAGCGGCAGACGGGUGAGUAACACGUGGGAACGUACCUUUUGGUUCGGAACAACACAGGGAAACUUGUGCUAAUACCGGAUAAGCCCUUACGGGGAAAGAUUUAUCGCCGAAAGAUCGGCCCGCGUCUGAUUAGCUAGUUGGUGAGGUAACGGCUCACCAAGGCGACGAUCAGUAGCUGGUCUGAGAGGAUGAUCAGCCACAUUGGGACUGAGACACGGCCCAAACUCCUACGGGAGGCAGCAGUGGGGAAUAUUGGACAAUGGGCGCAAGCCUGAUCCAGCCAUGCCGCGUGAGUGAUGAAGGCCCUAGGGUUGUAAAGCUCUUUUGUGCGGGAAGAUAAUGACGGUACCGCAAGAAUAAGCCCCGGCUAACUUCGUGCCAGCAGCCGCGGUAAUACGAAGGGGGCUAGCGUUGCUCGGAAUCACUGGGCGUAAAGGGUGCGUANGCGGGUCUUUAAGUCAGGGGUGAAAUCCUGGAGCUCAACUCCAGAACUGCCUUUGAUACUGAAGAUCUU